rnacentral:lncRNA from 1 species
GCCGCAGGGCAGUUUACCACAAGAGAGUUUGAAGCAGAUGAUAUAACCAUUUCCCUCUCCAGGAUUAAAACCAGGAAACAAGUCGCAAAAGUCCACUUUUGUCUCAAGAGUCUUGUAACUUCCCAGUUUUAUCAUUGGUGGAAAUUUUUCAGGCCUUGUUCAGGUCUUUCUGAAGCACACACGAAGGUCCUGAGGAGAUACGAGCAGGGACUGGAACUGUGGUCAGGACCUUUGGAAGGGAUCUUGAGGACAGUUUGCUUCACAGAGAGCAGGUACCAGUCCUCUCUUCAGCAAACUCCAGCUCCCGCUGGUCCUCCAGCAUCCUGAAUUACAGAUGCACUUCAGAGAGAGCAGGAAAUCCAACACCACCAAAUAAACACAAGGGGACGAUGAGCGCCA